rnacentral:rRNA from 1 species
GACGAACGCUGGCGGCGUGCCUAAUACAUGCAAGUCGAACGCAGUUGCGAACGGGUGAGUAACGCGUAGGUAACUGCCUCAUAGCGGGGGAUAACUAUUGGAAACGAUAGCUAAUACCGCAUCCUGUGAGCUGGACCUGCGUUGUAUUAGCUAGUUGGUGGGGUAAAGGCCCACCAAGGCGACGAUACAUAGCCGGCCUGGGAGGGUGAUCGGCCAAACUGGGACUGGGAAACGGGCCAGACUCCCACGGGGAGCAACAGGAGGGGAAUAUUGGCCAUGGGGGGAAGUCUGGCCGAGCAACGCCGGGGGAGUGGAGAAGGUUUUCGGGUCGUAAAGCUCUGUUGUUAGGGAAGCGGUAACUAACCAGAAAGGGCCGGCUAACUACGUGCCAGCAGCCGCGGUAAUUC